AUACCGAAUAUACCCAUAUCCUCAUGGCCGGCAAAGCUUAUAUACUGUAUUUACUAUCUUGCAAAGCUUAAAGCUGAUUUCAAGAUGUACAUGUUCGUUUUACAUGCCAAUUUAAAAUUGUAUUACUUACUGACUCUUUUUCAUGAUUUAUCAAAGCUCGUAUUUUCUCUGUCAAGAUACAAGGCAGUUAUUGAUGCUUAUUUAGAUGAAGAAAAUUUAGUGGUCGGCGUUUUGGUGAAAUGGUGUUUACAUUGACUAAAGGCUCUACUCCCUCAUAUCAAGGCUUCCUUCCUCUGCGAAGUUUACGGCGCCCGGAUGUAAGCAAAACAAAGCCCAUUUCACUCCUCCGCUAAGUGCACCACGUUGUUUCGAUGAAAGCUACGUUCAGGAAAUCGUUGAAAAAGCACCUCAGGUUUACUAACAAUGGAUCUUCGUUUUGGCGAUGUCAUUGAUGACGUGGCUCGAUACUUUAAGGAUGCAUAUGACAAAAAACUUGCACCAUACAAGUUUGUUGAAGGCAUGAUUGACAGAACAAUUGAGAAGCUAUGGCCUAACAAUCCAAUGCUGGCAUGCGAUAGUUCCUGCCAAAGGAUUCGAAUAAACAUCGGUGAAUAUCUCGAAGCUGACAGGGAUGAAUUGUACCAUCUGGACUAUUGUGGUAGAAGCUUUUUUUUAUUAUUUCUUUUUGGAAAUUAUUUGUUUGUUGGUAGUUUGGUUGCUAUAGAAAUAUGGUUGUGUAUGUGGUGGAUUUGAGUGUAAGUUUUGGUUACUUAAACCCGAGGAUUCGGUAUUUAGGAUUAUGUUGAAUUUGAAGUUGUUUAUAUUGAAUGUAAGGAGUAGCACUGAAAUGAUUUCAG